rnacentral:ncRNA from 1 species
CAUCCAUCGAGACCGGCUGAGGGACAGGCCCUUAGAAGCCGGGGCAACCCAACGCAGCGCAAGCUGCGUGAAGGUGCCAAUUCCUGCGGCCCGCCCCGUCAUCGAGACGUAGAGGCGUCGGUCGGAAGAUGGUUG